AGUGGAUGGGGAGCAACCUAUGUUGUGCGUGUGUAAAGGUAGUGCCAAGAAAAGCGAUGAUCAUGUUGAAAAUCAAUUCCCGGUACCCGAAACCGACACAGGUGGGCAAGUAGAGAAUACUAAGGGGCGCGAGGUAACUCUCUCCAAGGAACUCGGCAAAAUGACCCCGUAACUUAGGGAGAAGGGGUGCCACCGAGAGGUGGUCGCAGUGAAGAGGCCCAGGCGACUGUUUAGCAAAAACAUAGGUCUCUGCAAACUCGAAAGAGGAGGUAUAGGGGCUGACGCCUGCCCAGUGCCGGAAGGUUAAAGAAGUUGGUCAGUUUUAGGAUGAAGCUAGCGACUGAAGCCCCGGUGAACGGCGGCCGUAACUAUAACGGUCCUAAGGUAGCGAAAUUCCUUGUCGGGUAAGUUCCGACCCGCACGAAAGGCGUAACGAUCUGGGCGCUGUCUCGGAGAGAGGCUCGGCGAAAUAGGAUUGUCUGUGAAGAUACGGACUACCUGCAUUUGGACAGAAAGACCCUAUGAAGCUUUACUAUAGCUUGGAAUUGUGUUCGGGCUUCCUGUGCGCAGGAUAGGUGGGAGGCGUAGAAGGUAUUCUUGUGGGGAUACUGGAGCCAACGGUGAGAUACCACUCUCAGGAGGCUAGAAUUCUAACUUAAUUAAGGACAGUUUCAGGUGGGUAGUUUGACUGGGGCGGUCGCCUCCAAAAAGGUAACGGAGGCGUACAAAGGUUCCCUCAGACUGGUUGGAAAUCAGUCGAAGAGUGCAAAGGCAGAAGGGAGCUUGACUGCGAGAAGUACAGUUCGAGCAGGGUGGAAACACGGUCUUAGUGAUCCGACGGUGCUGUGUGGAAGGGCCGUCGCUCAACGGAUAAAAGUUACUCUAGGAUAACAGGCUGAUCUCCCCCAAGAGUUCACAUCGACGGGGAGGUUUGGCACCUCGAUGUCGGCUCAUCGCAACCUGGGGCGGAAGUACGUCCCAAGGGUUGGGCUGUUCGCCCAUUAAAGCGGUACGUGAGCUGGGUUCAGAACGUCGUGAGACAGUUCGGUCCAUAUCCGAUGUAGGCGUGAGAAUAUUGAGAGGAGCCUUCCUUAGUACGAGAGGACCGGGAAGGACGCACCGCUGGUGUACCUGUUAUGAUGCCAAUUGUAAACGCAGGGUAGCCAAGUGCGGAGAGGAUAACCGCUGAAAGCAUCUAAGUGGGAAGCCCACCUCAAGAUGAGUAUUCUGGUGUAAGGUCACGGGAAGACGACCCGUAAAUAGGCACGAGGUGGAAGUGCAGAGAUGUAUGAAGCCGAAGUGUACUAGUAGACCGUCGGCUUGACC
rnacentral:rRNA from 1 species